GUACACUCCUACGGGAGGCAGCAGUGGGGAAUUUUGGACAAUGGGCGAAAGCCUGAUCCAGCAAUGCCGCGUGAGUGAAGAAGGCCUUCGGGUUGUAAAGCUCUUUUGUCAGGGAAGAAACGGUGAGAGCUAAUAUCUUUUGCUAAUGACGGUACCUGAAGAAUAAGCACCGGCUAACUACGUGCCAGCAGCCGCGGUAAUACGUAGGGUGCAAGCGUUAAUCGGAAUUACUGGGCGUAAAGCGUGCGCAGGCGGUUUUGUAAGUCUGAUGUGAAAUCCCCGGGCUCAACCUGGGAAUUGCAUUGGAGACUGCAAGGCUAGAAUCUGGCAGAGGGGGGUAGAAUUCCACGUGUAGCAGUGAAAUGCGUAGAUAUGUGGAGGAACACCGAUGGCGAAGGCAGCCCCCUGGGUCAAGAUUGACGCUCAUGCACGAAAGCGUGGGGAGCAAACAGGAUUAGAAACCCCAGUAGUCCCAU
rnacentral:rRNA from 1 species